rnacentral:lncRNA from 1 species
AAAGCCGACUAAGGAUCAGAUCAUGGCAGAAGACACCAAAACCAAUUUGUGGACUGUUCCACUAAGCAGCCUUUCUAUUUCGUGUUAAAGACGGGCAUAAAUGUAAUAUGGACUUCAAAAAACUUUUGUGUUUAAUAUUAGAGGUACCAAAAUAAGGGUCAAUGUAAAGAAGUACCGUAGCAACCACACCAUGUGAACAGAGAAGGCCGUUUCAGAAGUACUGUACCCACUACCUAUUUGUCUAUGACUGCUUACACACACUGACCAACACUCUCCCCCUCCUCUUUGUUUUUGGUUUAUCGUUCCUUAAACAAACCAAUAUACUCAGGCAGAGAACAAAGCAACAGUGACUGUCCCCAGAAGAACUAUGAAAGCAGAUGAAUGUGUUCAUGCAUCCACAGCUGUGGGACACGACGACACGGCCUUUAACUGGUUAGAAACAAUGCUGCAAUGCAAAGACUGCAGUGCAGUACGACGGUGUCACAACGGAACAAUGCCAGCUGUUAGAAACCAAGUACAGUGAGUGGGCCUGGCCUAGCCAUCUAUGUUAACUUUGGAUCCAGUUUCUGAUCUGGCCAUCCUGGAAGGACUUUGUUAUGGGGUAA